rnacentral:rRNA from 1 species
UAAGGAAUAUUGGUCAAUGGACGCAAGUCUGAACCAGCCAUGCCGCGUGAAGGAUGAAGGUCCUCUGGAUUGUAAACUUCUUUUAUCUGGGACGAAAACGGGAUUUUUAUCUCAAUUGACGGUACCAGAGGAAUAAGCACCGGCUAACUCCGUGCCAGCAGCCGCGGUAAUACGGAGGGUGCGAGCGUUAUCCGGAUUUACCGGGUUUAAAGGGUGCGUAGGUGGGCUUAUAAGUCAGUGGUGAAAUCUCCGAGCUUAACUUGGAAACUGCCGUUGAUACUAUAGGUCUUGAAUUAUCUGGAGGUAAGCGGAAUAUGUCAUGUAGCGGUGAAAUGCUUAGAUAUGACAUAGAACACCAAUUGCGAAGGCAGCUUACUACAUAUAAAUUGACGCCGAGGCACGAAAGCGUGGGGAUCAAACA